CGGCACUGGCACAUGCCACCCCUCAUGACACACGGACAGGGACACACGGACACGGCUGCUGAGCGCGUUCGGUGCCGGCAGCUCCGGGCUGGGAGCGGGGGGAGCUCCCGGACAGGGCCCGGAGCUGCCGGUCCCCGGCACGGGGAAGGGAGCGGGGCACGGGACACUCGGAGACCGCAGGACAGGAGGACUCCGGGCCCUCCUGCACCCACACUGGGAGGGGGUAAGAGCCCAGAGGGUCCUGUCUUUGGGGCUCCUCCUUGGAGGCACCAGCUCGGGCUGUUAGUUUGUUAUUUAAUUAAUGAACCAUGAUUAAAUUAUUCUAAGGACUGAGGGCCAAGGCGGGGAGGGCGGCUGCUCUGGCUCGGAAGGGUGGUCCCAGCUCAGGUGGGGCAGGUGUGGCUGCCCGAGCAGCUACGGGAUGCUCCGACAGGAAAGUGUCCUCAGCAGUUUGGUGGCCCAGGUGUGACCCUGGGCCAUCCCCUUCAGAGCCUCCCUGCUCCAAACCCCCACCCGCCAGCACUGGGUCAGCUCACCUGGAUCUUCGGAGCAAGGAGGAGCCGAAACACAGCAAGGGGACGCUCUUGGCCAAAGUUGUGCAAUUUGGAACAUCGAGGAUGAUUUGAGGCUUCACUGCCCUGGGAGAGAGAGAAAAGGUUGAUGGCAGAGUUGUUGAAGUGUUUUAGAAGUCUGAGAAAUUGUGUGAAGUCCUGGGCUCUCUCAUGUGCCACAGACAGAGUUGAACGUCUGGGAUUCCCUUCAGGCACUUUGGGAGUUCCUUUCACAGCUACCAAAGAGGUGCCCAGACACCGUGAGUGGAGCACAGACACACACACAGAGCAGGUGAUCGCUCUGGGCUGUUAUGGGAUGGCCUCAAGAAGAGGAAUUCAGGGAGAUCUGCACCCACAGGGAUCUCAUCUCCAGCCUGUGCUGUUUGUGCCUGGCUGAAUGGGCUGUCGGGGUGUAAAGCUCAAAUCCUGCACCAGGAGCAGGUUCUUCAGAGGGCAAAUGUCAGCUGAAAUGCUGCUUUCAUUUGGUAUCUGUGUAAGGUUCCUGUGCUUGUAAUAGUUGUUAUUCUGUGUGUGUUUCUAAAAGCUUUCUGUAAGUACAUUUUCCUACAUGUAAAUUUCUAUUAGGUGAGAGGACAGCAAAUGUGCAUGUAAUAUUUGAAGACUUUUUCCAGAAUGAGGAGAACUUGUGGUUGUUCUUGAGGAAUUGGUGUUUUCUGGCCAUAACUGAAGGCAUCACCUUUGUCUGGUUUGCUGCACUGGAACAGCAACAGGAAACUUUGAAUUUUAAAAUUAAUGUUAUUUGUAUUGACUUGGGGCAAACUCUUGCACUUUCCUCCAGGAGGAUGAUCCACAGAGUCCUCCCUGAGCAGGAAAGGGGUUCUGGUGCCUGAUGAUUUGUAUGGCCCCCUCAUGGGGGAGGGAAGGAAGUCCUGUGAUACCAAAAAAAUAAAAAAGUAAAUGAGAAAAUGCUUUUAAAA